rnacentral:rRNA from 1 species
UACGAAGGGUGCAAGCGUUACUCGGAAUUACUGGGCGUAAAGCGUGCGUAGGUGGUUUGUUAAGUCUGUUGUGAAAGCCCCGGGCUCAACCUGGGAAUGGCAAUGGAUACUGGCAAGCUAGAGUGCGGUAGAGGGUAGUGGAAUUCCCGGUGUAGCGGUGAAAUGCGUAGAGAUCGGGAGGAACACCGGUGGCGAAGGCGGGUUCGCUGGGCCUUACCUGACGCCUGAGGCGCGAAGGCUGGGGGAGCAAACGGG